UAUGUCCUAGUGCAGUCAGAGGGGAAGAGCCAGGGCAAAAGGUGAGGCACAUCAAGCACAGAAUAAUAAUUUUAAUCUGAGGAUAAAACGCAAGUACUGAGGCUGAAAGAAGCUUCAGUGCUCUCAGAAGACUAAAAACAUGGCUAAGGUCAACAGUGACUCCAAUGAGAUUAAACAAUGCUGCUGUAUGCCAUGUCCACCAGGAGUGACUGGACAGUAUAGAUGUAAAACAAAUAUGGCAGCAGUUUAUCUCCGUUAACGAGAGGAGAAGGCAUGUGUUUGGCUCCUUCACAUAGUGGACAUUGAGUUGUUGUGUGGGGCACCAGUAGUCCACAUCUCUUGCUGUAACAGUAUUUCAUGUUUAGAAUAAAAAAUCCCAGCUCACUGACUUGAUCGGGGCAACAGUGCGCCUAAAAUGUUGCAUAAUUUUGCUGAGAGACCUUUUACUUUGUGGUAAUCUGAUGUAGCCGGAUGGGCUACUCGCCUUUCUUUUCUCUCUCGCUCACUCUACUGCUCUCUCCUGCGCUCGCUCUCUCCUGCGCUCGCUCUCGCUGCGCAACUACGCUAAUUAGGAACCCACCUGUAUAUUGAUUACAGGGUGGUGUUUACCUGUAUAAAGGGAAGCCGGUUUUUCUUGUUGGAUCAUUCCUCCCGAGCUUCUGGUGCGACACAGCAGUAAAUGCUGGCCUAUCGGUUAAUUUUACGAUCGGAUCGUGUGACCGCUACAGCGCGGCUGUUUUUCUUUCCUUUGCUCCAGCCGUGGUGAGGAGACGCGUGAGUGCAUCCGCCGUGCAGUACAGCGCCUCCAAGUUCUGGGGUAAGCCGCUUAUUUUAUAGCUGCUAGUUUUGUAAAUUAAAGAAGAUUAAGGUUAGUUUUGCCUUUUCUUAUUUGUAGGAUUUGAUUGCUGCCGCACCCUCUCAGGGAUCAACUGCCUGAUUUUUAAGCGAAGAGUUGAGGCACCUGCCCUGCUGCUGUCUUGUUUUGUUGAUUUUGUUAUAUUACGGUUAAUCUGUCGGCGGCCCAGUUUUCCCCUGUAGCUUGCCUUUCCACGCCCUUUUGGACUAUUGUUCGCUCCAGCUUUUGUGGCUGGCCGGGGCGAUUCUCGGCCGUAUACUGGGCCGGUUAUACGAACUGGUACUGCCUUUCCCCUUUCUCCCAGCUGUGAAGUUGUGUGAGACCGAGCAGACCAAGGAUAAUCGGACCCAGCACCAGUUGUGGGCUGGUUCGCCGAGUGAAAGUAUUUUUAAUCAGUGCUCUGUGGUGUAUAACUGGGUGUGUUGUAUCACCGACUUUUGUUUUCCUUUAAUUGUUUCUUUCUUUUGUUUUCUAGGUUGAGAGCUUGUUUAUGUCCCAUGUUUUUAUCCUUUUUAAUGUGUUUAUCUCGUGCUUUUAUUUCAGCGAACUGAGGAUUUACCAGCGGCCGUGGGACCUCAGGUGGUGGGUCGUUUUCCACACUACUUUUGUUGUACAGCACCAGGUGAAUAGACUAUAGUAGGUUUCUUUGUGUGGUUCUUUUGGUCCACCGCUGCUGGUAAGUCCCAGUUGUAUUUAUUUUUAUUGUAAUUUGGGACACCGUUUUAGAUAUUCAGUGCGCUGUUGUUUUGUUUUUCAUUUUACAUUAAUAAAUAAAAUUGUGUUUAUAUUUGA